rnacentral:tRNA from 1 species
GGUGGCUCAGUAGUAGAGUGCUUGCCUUGUAUGCAUGAAGCCCUGGGUUCGAUUCCUCAGCACCA